ACGGGGUGCAGCAGGCGCGAAACCUCUACAAUGCACGAAAGUGUGAUAGGGGGAUUCCACGUGCAAGCUUUGCUUGCUUUUCUCAAGUCUAAACCGCUUGGGGAAUAAGGGCUGGGCAAGACCCGUGCCAGCCGCCGCGGUAACACGGGCAGCUCAAGUGGCGUUCGCGUAUAUUGGGCCUAAAGCGUGCGUAGCCUGUCAGGUAAGUUCUUGGUGAAAGCUUGCGACUUAAUCGUGAGAAUUGCCAGGAAAACUGCCCGACUUGGGACCGGAAGAGGUCGGAGGUAUUUCUUGGGUAGGGGUAAAAUCCUGUAAUCCUUGAAGGACCAUCGGUGGCGAAGGCGUCCGACUGGGACGGGUCCGACGGUGAGGCACGAAAGCUAGGGGAGCGACCCGGAUUAGAUACCCGGUUAGUCCUAGCCGUAAAUGAUGUCUGUUUGGUAUUGCGUGGCUUACGAGGCCCCGCAGUGCCGUAGGGAAGCCGUUAAACAGACCGCCUGGGAGUACGCCGCAAG
rnacentral:rRNA from 1 species